rnacentral:rRNA from 1 species
UGCUUACACAUGCAAGUCGAACGGUGAAGCCAAGCUUGCUUGGUGGAUCAGUGGCGAACGGGUGAGUAACACGUGAGCAACCUGCCCUGGACUCUGGGAUAAGCGCUGGAAACGGCGUCUAAUACUGGAUAUGAGCCUCUUCCGCAUGGUGGGGGUUGGAAAGAUUUUUUGGUCUGGGAUGGGCUCGCGGCCUAUCAGCUUGUUGGUGGGGUAAUGGCUCACCAAGGCGUCGACGGGUAGCCGGCCUGAGAGGGUGACCGGCCACACUGGGACUGAGACACGGCCCAGACUCCUACGGGAGGCAGCAGUGGGGAAUAUUGCACAAUGGGCGAAAGCCUGAUGCAGCAACGCCGCGUGAGGGAUGACGGCCUUCGGGUUGUAAACCUCUUUUAGCAGGGAAGAAGCGAAAGUGACGGUACCUGCAGAAAAAGCGCCGGCUAACUACGUGCCAGCAGCCGCGGUAAUACGUAGGGCGCAAGCGUUAUCCGGAAUUAUUGGGCGUAAAGAGCUCGUAGGCGGUUUGUCGCGUCUGCUGUGAAAUCCCGAGGCUCAACCUCGGGCCUGCAGUGGGUACGGGCAGACUAGAGUGCGGUACGGGAGAUUGGAAUUCCUGGUGUACCGGUGGAAUGC